CAGUCGCCGCGGUAAUACAGAGGGUGCGAGCGUUAAUCGGAUUUACUGGGCGUAAAGCGUGCGUAGGCGGCUUCUUAAGUCGGAUGUGAAAUCCCUGAGCUUAACUUAGGAAUUGCAUUCGAUACUGGGAAGCUAGAGUAUGGGAGAGGAUGGUAGAAUUCCAGGUGUAGCGGUGAAAUGCGUAGAGAUCUGGAGGAAUACCGAUGGCGAAGGCGGCUCACUGGUCCAUUACUGACGCUGAGGUACGAAAGCAUGGGGAGCAAACAGGAUUAGAGACCCCAGUAGUCCCUGUCUCUUAUAC
rnacentral:rRNA from 1 species